CGUUAUGGCAGAUCGCGUGGGGAGACCCUCGGGUCUGCCGGGUUCAGUAUCCCCGGUUCGCUAACCCUGCGCGGUCUGCCACCUUA
rnacentral:antisense_RNA from 1 species